AAACAGUAUCUCCAAAGGCUAUUAUACACAUUAAAACAGUGAAAAAUCAACUUAGAUGCGAAAUAAUAAAGUUUACUGGGGGUAGUAUCGUUUAAAAUAGAGAUUACUACCCUAGUAAUCUUCUACUGGGUGUAGUAAACUUGCAAAACAAUAUCCCCAAAGGCCGUAAUACACAUUAAAAUGUGCUUCUGCACAGCUAAUGGGAGCGUUCCUUUCCAAAACUAAUGACUAACAAAAAAAAAAAAAUAUCAGAAGCAUGAAGAUUUUCAAAAUUACUAGGGCUAGCAUUCAGCUCCAAAACGAAAGACUAACAAAAGAGAAGAAACAUAAAAAGCAGCGUGCCGCUGCACCGCUAACGGGAGCGUUCCGCUCCAAAAACAUAACAUGUACAACUAAAAACAUGAAAAAAUUACUAACAAUUACUAGGGGUAGUAAAAUAACAGGAGGUACCUUUGUUUCCAUUUCUUCCAGUUGCAGCAAGAAUCUGCCCCUUGUAUUUGCUCUUUCCAAAGGCACCAUCAACAUAUAAAACAGGUAAGCUGAACUUGAAACCCUGAAUUUGGCCGGCAUAAGCUACAAAAACCCUUUUAAACCUCUCGGUACUCUCAUCAACUUCAAGAACAACUGAAGAACCCGGAUUAGUUGAUAGGUGCAUUUUAUGCAACGUUCUUAAUGUAUUUCCGACCCUAUUUAGUUAUGUAAUUCCUUUAACAAUAUUGAUUUUAACUUAGUUUGUGUUUUUAGGUCUCAAAUAAAGCCGAGGAGCACAAAAGAGGCAAAAGCGGACAAAUCUUGAAGGAAAAGAAAUCCAUAUGGCGCAAGGAAAGAAAUCAGAAAAUCUGCCAGGAAUAGUCAGUCAACUUCGACAGAGAAUUGUGAUCAGCUCACAACGAUCCAGGAGAUGAACUUUAUAUCAGCAGAAAGCUAGAAGAGUCUAGUUUUCAGAACUUUUC
rnacentral:lncRNA from 1 species